AGUGAACGCUGGCGGCGUGCCUAACACAUGCAAGUCGAACGGGCUAGUGCUUCGCACUAGUCUCUUUCUGGGGUUGUUACUCUAAGGCUACCUGCUAAAGUUAUUGCUUUAAAGCAGGGGUUUUAGGAGACUUUCCCCGAAAGGGGCCAGUGCGGAGCACUGGCCAGUGGCGAACGGGUGAGUAACACGUGGGUAAUCUACCCUCGAGUGGGGAAUAAGCUUCCGAAAGGGGGUCUAAUGCCGCAUAACGUUUCAUAACGAUGGUUAUGAAACCAAAGCCCAAAAGGCGCUCGAGGAGGAGCCUGCGUCCUAUCAGCUUGUUGGCAGGGUAAUGGCCUACCAAGGCUAUGACGGGUAGCCGGCCUGAGAGGGUGUCCGGCCACACUGGAACUGAGACACGGUCCAGACUCCUACGGGAGGCAGCAGUGGGGAAUUUUGCGCAAUGGGGAAACCCUGACGCAAGCGAACGCCGCGUGGAGGAUGGACGCCUCGGUGUAACGUCCUAGUCGAAGGACGAAGUACCGACCG
rnacentral:rRNA from 1 species